AGAAACGCUUCUGCCUUGGAUGGA
rnacentral:siRNA from 1 species